rnacentral:rRNA from 1 species
UACGGAGGGUGCGAGCGUUAAUCGGAAUUACUGGGCGUAAAGGGUGCGUAGGUGGUUUGAUAAGUUAGCUGUAAAAUUCCUGGGCUUAACCUGGGGUGGUCAGCUAAGACUGUUAGACUUUGAGUAUGGGAGAGGGUAGUGGAAUUUCCGGUGUAGCGGUGAAAUGCGUAGAGAUCGGAAGGAACACCAGUGGCGAAGGCGGCUACCUGGCCUGAUACUGACACUGAGGCACGAAAGCGUGGGGAGCGAACGGG